AUACGGAGGACGCGAGCGUUAUCCGGAUUCAUUGGGUUUAAAGGGUGCGCAGGCGGCCGUGCAAGUCAGCGGUGAAAGCCCGGGGCUCAACCCCGGAAGUGCCGUUGAUACAGCGUGGCUGGAAUGCGGUCGAGGCGGGCGGAACGGGGCGUGUAGCGGGGGAAUGCGUAGAUAUGCCACAGAACGCCGAUAGCGGAGGCAGCUCGCCAGGCCUGCAUUGACGCUCGGGCACGAAAGCGUGGGGAUCGAACAGGAUUAGAUACCCUGGUAGUCCACGCCGUAAACGAUGGGCGCUCGUCGUCGGCGGCAGACAGUCGGCGGCCAAGCGAAAGCGAUAAGCGCCCCACCUGGGGAGUACGGUCGCAAGGCUGAAACUUAAAGGAAUUGACGGGG
rnacentral:rRNA from 1 species